UGGAGCUGUAAAUGGGAAGCAGGUCACUUACUUUGCAUUCGUCCUUGGUGGUCACCCCAGGGUCUCUAGAGUGAAAAUGACUCAAUCUAUGGUUUAAACAGAACAUUUUGUUGUAUGAAGUGCAAUUUGGGACAUUCUUCCAGUUGUCGGCAACUUUGUGAAAAAGGCAGAAUUCUGGCCUGGUGUUUGGUCUGUGCUGUCUUUGGCUCUUGCAUCUCCAUCAUCCUGACCCUCUUUAGCAGCCUGUCCAUGUAUUUAUUUGGAGGCCACGAUGAGCACCCAUCUGCAUAAUAUGACUUUGUUACUCAGAUGUCCAUGCGCUCCUACAAAUUCUACAUUUUUUGUAAAGCUGCAACAAGUUGAAACCCUAUAAUUAUUAACGUUUGAUUUUGAACUAUGUAAUUCAAAUACAUGAAUAAGUAACAAAAGCAGAAAUCUAUUAAGACAUUACCUUUUUGUUGCUUGUUUACUGAUCUAUCAAUCUUUUUGCAUUUUCAUAAUUGAUCAUCAUAACUUGGUAUACAGUGGU